rnacentral:tRNA from 1 species
GCGGGAGUGAUGUAACCGGCAACAUUCGAGUCUUCCAAACUCGCCUUGAGGGUUCGACCCCCUUCUCCCGCU